UGAGGAAUAUUGGACAAUGGGCGCAAGCCUGAUCCAGCAAUGCCGCGUGCAGGAUGAAGGCCUUCGGGUUGUAAACUGCUUUUGUACGGAGCGAAAAGGUCUGCCCUAAUACGGUGGGCUCAUGACGGUACCGUAAGAAUAAGCACCGGCUAACUACGUGCCAGCAGCCGCGGUAAUACGUAGGGUGCGAGCGUUAAUCGGAAUUACUGGGCGUAAAGCGUGCGCAGGCGGUUAUAUAAGACAGAUGUGAAAUCCCCGGGCUCAACCUGGGACCUGCAUUUGUGACUGUAUAGCUAGAGUACGGUAGAGGGGGAUGGAAUUCCACGUGUAGCAGUGAAAUGCGUAGAUAUGCGGAGGAACACCGAUGGCGAAGGCAAUCCCCUGGACCUGUACUGACGCUCAUGCACGAAAGCGUGGGGAGCAAACA
rnacentral:rRNA from 1 species